rnacentral:rRNA from 1 species
UACGGAGGGUGCAAGCGUUAUCCGGAUUUACUGGGUUUAAAGGGUGUGUAGGCGGGUCUUUAAGUCAGUGGUGAAAUCUCCGAGCUCAACUUGGAAACUGCCAUUGAUACUAUUGAUCUUGAAUUUUGUUGAGGUAGGCGGAAUAAGUCAUGUAGCGGUGAAAUGCAUAGAUAUGACUUAGAACACCAAUUGCGAAGGCAGCUUACUAAGCAAAUAUUGACGCUGAGGCACGAAAGCGUGGGGAUCAAACAGG